rnacentral:rRNA from 1 species
UGCAAGUCGAACGCUUUUUCUUUCACCGGAGCUUGCUCCACCGAAAGAAAAAGAGUGGCGAACGGGUGAGUAACACGUGGGUAACCUGCCCAUCAGAAGGGGAUAACACUUGGAAACAGGUGCUAAUACCGUAUAACACUAUUUUCCGCAUGGAAGAAAGUUGAAAGGCGCUUUUGCGUCACUGAUGGAUGGACCCGCGGUGCAUUAGCUAGUUGGUGAGGUAACGGCUCACCAAGGCAACGAUGCAUAGCCGACCUGAGAGGGUGAUCGGCCACACUGGGACUGAGACACGGCCCAGACUCCUACGGGAGGCAGCAGUAGGGAAUCUUCGGCAAUGGACGAAAGUCUGACCGAGCAACGCCGCGUGAGUGAAGAAGGUUUUCGGAUCGUAAAACUCUGUUGUUAGAGAAGAACAAGGAUGAGAGUAAAACGUUCAUCCCUUGACGGUAUCUAACCAGAAAGCCACGGCUAACUACGUGCCAGCAGCCGCGGUAAUACGUAGGUGGCAAGCGUUGUCCGGAUUUAUUGGGCGUAAAGCGAGCGCAGGCGGUUUCUUAAGUCUGAUGUGAAAGCCCCCGGCUCAACCGGGGAGGGUCAUUGGAAACUGGGAGACUUGAGUGCAGAAGAGGAGAGUGGAAUUCCAUGUGUAGCGGUGAAAUGCGUAGAUAUAUGGAGGAACACCAGUGGCGAAGGCGGCUCUCUGGUCUGUAACUGACGCUGAGGCUCGAAAGCGUGGGGAGCGAACAGGAUUAGAUACC